rnacentral:misc_RNA from 1 species
UUUCCGUAGGUGAACCUGCGGAAGGAUCAUUAAUGAGUUGUCAUGGGGUUCGAUGCUGGCAGCCAAUUUUUGGAUGCAUGUGCUUGCCCUAACAAUCAUCUUCCAAACACCUGUGCACAUUUUUGAGGGAGUCUUGAGUUGGUUGCCGCUCUUGGGUGAUUUUCUCACAUUCCCUUAAAUCAUAAUACGCUAUUAACAAUGUUGAACGUGCUCUGUGCCGCAAGGCUAUUAAUAUAAUACAACUUUUAACAACGGAUCUCUUGGCUCUC